rnacentral:rRNA from 1 species
UAAACUAGGGAUUAGAUACCCUAUUAUUCUAAAUUUAAUUAUAAAAUGACGAGUUUUAUGAGUUAAUAAAAUUGGCGGUUUUUUUACUUUUUAGAGGAGUUUGUUUCAUAAAGGAUAUUACCCCAACUAAUUUACUAUAAUUUAAGAUUUUUAUAUCGCUGUUGUUAAAAUAUUAUUGAGUUCAAAUAUUUGAAAUUUAAUUUAUAAUGUACUUCAAGUCAAGAUGAAAUUAUAUUAUAGGGAAAAUGAACUACAAUAAAUAAUUUUAAUACGGAACUUAAAUUUUAAAUUUUUGUGAAGGUGGAUUUAAUAGUAAAUUUUAUAAUAAUUUGAAUUAAGUUCAAAAGGAUGUACAUAUCGCCC